rnacentral:rRNA from 1 species
GGCCUCUUGGAUUUAAUAAGAGGUUUGACCUGCCCAGUGAAUAUUUAACGGCCGCGGUACUCUGACCGUGCAAAGGUAGCAUAAUCAUUAGUCUUUUAAAAGGAGGCUGGAAUGAAGGGUUUGACGAGGAAUUAACUGUCUCAUUUUUUUUGAAUUUAAAAUUUAACUUUUUAGUCAAAAGGCUAAAAUUUUAUUGGUAGACGAGAAGACCCUAUAGAGCUUUAUAUUUAUUUGAUUAUUUAUAUUAUAUUAUUUAUUAUUAUUUUGGGUAAAUAUUUUGUUGGGGUGACAAAAAUAUAUAAUUAACUUUUUUAUUUUAAGUACAUUGAUUUAUGAUUAAGAGAUCCAAUAUUAUUGAUUGUUAGAUUAAGUUACCUUAGGGAUAACAGCGUAAUCUUCUUCCAGAGUUCAUAUUUACGGGAGGGCUUGCGACCUCGAUGUUGGAUUAAGAUAAUAUUUAGGUGUAGCUGCUUAAUUAAUAGGUCUGUUCGACCUUUAAAUUCUU